rnacentral:rRNA from 1 species
CAGUGGCGAAGGCGACUCUCUGGUCCUGUAAAUGACGCUGAGGCGCGAAAGCGUGGGGAGCGAACAUGAUUAGAUACCCUGGUAGUACACGCCGUAAACGAUGAGUGAUAAGUGUUAGAGGGUUUCCGCCCUUUAGUGUGCAGCAAACGCAUUAAGCACUCCGCCUGGGGAGUACGGUCGCAAGACUGAAACUCAAAGGAAUUGACGGGGGCCCGCACAAGCGGUGGAGCAUGUGGUUUAAUUUGAAGCAACGCGAAGAACCUUACCAGGUCUUGACAUCCUCUGACAACCCUAGAGAUAGGGCUUCCCCUUCGGGGGCAGAGUGACAGGUGGUGCAUGGUUGUCGUCAGCUCGUGUCGUGAGAUGUUGGGUUAAGUCCCGCAACGAGCGCAACCCUUGAUUUUAGUUGCCAGCAUUCAGUUGGGCACUUUAAGGUGACUGCCGGUGACAAACCGGAGGAAGGUGGGGAUGACGUCAAAUCAUCAUGCCCCUUAUGACCUGGGCUACACACGUGCUACAAUGGGCAGAACAAAGGGCAGCGAAGCCGCGAGGGUAAGCCAAUCCCACAAAUCUGUUUUCAGUUCGGAUCGCAGUUUGCAACUCGACUGCGUGAAGCUGGAAUCGCUAGUAAUCGCGGAUCAGCAUGCCGCGGUGAAUACGUUCCCGGGCCUUGUACACACCGCCCGUCACACCACGAGAGUUUGUAACACCCGAAGUCGGUGAGGUAACCUUUUGGAGCCAGCCGCCGAAGGUGGGACCAGAUGAUUGGGGUGUAAGUC